rnacentral:rRNA from 1 species
AUUGAACGCUGGCGGCAGGCCUAACACAUGCAAGUCGAGCGGAGCGGCGGACGGGUGAGUAAUGCCUAGGAAUCUGACUGGUAGUGGGGGAUAACGUCCGGAAACGGGCGCUAAUACCGCAUACUAUCAGAUGAGCCUAGGUCGGAUUAGCUAGUUGGUGGGGAAAAGGCCUACCAAGGCGUAGAUCCGUAACCGGUCUGAGAGGAUGACCAGCCACAUCGGAACUGGAACACGGUCCAGACUCCUAGUGGAGGCAGCGGGGGGGAAUUGGGCAAAAGGGGCGAAAGCCUGUUGCAGCCAGGCCGGGUGUAUGAAGAGGGCCUUCGGGUUGAAAAGUACUUUCAGCGGGGAGGCGUUACCCGCAGAAGAAGCACCGGCUAACUCCUUGCCAGCAGCCGCGGUAAUA